UCAGAACGAACGCUGGCGGCAUGGAUUAGGCAUGCAAGUCGAACGAAGCAGCAAUGCUUAGUGGCGCAAGGGUGAGGAACACGUGAGUGACCUACCCGCAAGUUUGGAACAGCUCCUGGAAACGGGAAUUAAUACCGGAUGUGAUCAUGAAGCUGCAUGGUUUCAUGAUUAAAGCAGUAAUGCGCUUGCGGAUGGGCUCGCGUCCCAUUAGCUAGUUGGUGAGGUAACGGCCCACCAAGGCCAUGAUGGGUAGCUGGUCUGAGAGGACGACCAGCCACACUGGGACUGAGAACUGCCCAGACUCCUACGGGAGGCUGCAGUCGAGAAUUUUGGGCAAUGGACGAAAGUCUUGACCCAGCAAUGCCGCGUGCGGGAUGAAGGUCUUCGGAUUGUAAACCGCUGUUUGGAGGGACGAAAAUUGACGGUACUUCCAGAGGAAGCCACGGCUAACUACGUGCCAGCCGCCGC
rnacentral:rRNA from 1 species